UUCAAAACUACCACUUCCCAUCCAAAUGAACUGAUGAUAUCAUGGAAUACUGCAACACCAGAAAUGCCUAUAAAAGACAGACCCAUCCUCCAAAUUGCUAGAGACCAAAGAUGCAUGUAGAAACAUUUUGAACUGAAAUAGGCAAAAGAAGCCCUGCCAAUAGACUGCUGCAGUAGAUCAGCCACUAGAGAAAAGAGAAUCAAAAUAAUAGCAGUUGUAAAGCACAAGAUACAAAAACCUCUCUCAACAACAUCAGUAAAUCUGAUCUCAUAUAGCACAUGUUUCCAAUAUCAAAAAUUCCUGCAGAAGAUGAUAGGAAAAAAGACACUAUCAGCCUCAGACAAUAUGGACAAAUACUGGCUAACUUUCCUAACAAAAAAUAUCCAAUUUCUUAUAGUACAUGUUUCCAAUAUCAAAAAUUCCUGCAAUUAAAUUAUAAUGCCACAUAGAGAGAGAGAGAGAG
rnacentral:lncRNA from 1 species